rnacentral:tRNA from 1 species
ACCAACGAUGGUUCAGUGGGUAACGUGCGCGCCUAUCACGCGGAAAUCACCGGUUCGAAACCGGUUCUGGUC